GGCGCUCGAAGAGCAAGUAAAUAUGGCUGGCAAGAUGCAUCGAACGCAUUUGCGAAUCGUGAGUCGAUUUGUAUUCUUCGGUUGUUAAUUUUUCGUGACUUUCUCACGUGUGGUAAUGUUUCAUUUGUGUGUUUCUAAAAUAGUAAUAAAUUUCAUUCAAAGUUUCUUAGUAUACAACGAUUAAGCGGCGAACUACGAAAUAAAGAUAACGUUUCGAAUAUUGUAACGAACGUUCCGGAAGGCAGCUCAUCGUGUAACUGAAUUUUUAGCACGAUCGGUCGUGUUUUUGAGAAAAUAAUUAUCAUAAAAGUAAAGUUUUAAUUAUAUAAGUAUGACUGAGGAACAUCAAUUGCCUUCUGACUCUGAUGAAGAUGAUGAAGAUUAUGUUCCUGAUGGUGCAGACAGUGAGCCUGUGUCUGAAGUAGAAUCUGAAGGUGAUGCGGAAAGUGGUCCUGAGGAUGAAAAUGAUGAAAACAAAAGAGAAACAACAAAGAGAAGAGGAAGAAAAAAGAAAGUCAUAAAGUCUAAAAUUAAGAAGCACAGAAGAACAAGAAAAAAAGUAGAAGAUGAAGUUGAUGAAAAGCUAGAAGAGGAAGAAGUAGAAAAAGGAUCAAAAGAGAAAAAACAACUUACAGAAGAAGAAGAGAAAAAGAGAGCUGACUCUCUUUGGGCUGACUUUAUGAAGGAUACAGCAACGGUACCUAAAUCUAAGCCACAAAGCGCGUCAAAUAAAUCAAAAGAGAAAUCACCACCCAUAGAAAAGCCAAAAGUAGAAGAAAAAGUAAAGAUAACUAAGGUAUUUGAAUUUGCUGGUGAAGAAGUGAAGGUUGAAAAAGAAGUCUCGAUAGACUCUGCAGAAGCAAGACUAUCUUUAUCCUCUGCUGAAAAUUCUGAGAAGACAGGAAACCCUGGUCCUCCUGCAGGAAGAGGAUCCGGAAGGGGUAAAGGUUUUAAACGGGCUGGUUUGGGAGGUAUUUCUUCUGUCCUUGGUCAAUUAGGAAAAAAAACGAAAAUUAGUACUUUAGAAAAGUCCAAGCUGGAUUGGGACAAUUAUAAGAAACAAGAAAAUUUAGAGGAAGAAAUUAGUACUCAUAACAAAGGUAAAGACGGAUAUUUAGAACGUCAAGAUUUCUUACAGAGAGCAGAUUUGAGACAAUUUGAAAUUGAAAAGCAGUUACGUAAUGCGAACAGACGCAGUACACGGUGAAUUUAUAUUUUCAUGUAUACGUAUCUUUUCCCUAACAAUGAGAACUAGGGAUGGUAUUGAGAUAAAUACCUUAUUAGACUUGCCAAUUGUCGGCGCUUAUAGCACCUAUUUAAUCGAAUUGUUUAAACUCUUAUUAAAUAUCUCAUGCCAUAUGUAAAAAUGUGAUUGCCUCGCUUGGCUUGACAAUCAGCUGGAUCUGUUUAAGAAGCGGUUGAGAGCCAAUUCUGUGAGAAGAGACUGAUCAUUCCAAUGUAUUGAAGAUAACAUAGUACGUUACGUAAUAGUUUAAUUUACCAUCCGCGAGCUUCGUCUCGAUUCAUUAUAUCACAGAACUUCGCAUCGAAGCAGGAUGUUUGAAGCUUGGUGCUUCAGAGACCGACGAUAUACAUAUAUUUUAACAAUAAACAAACUCCAGAGAUGUUUUUUAUUUCGUUUCAAUGGAGGAAGGAUGAUUGAUGCAGUAUAAAUAGUAUAAAUCAAUCUUUUAUCUUUAACCAAAUUAAUUAAAUGCACCGAAAAUAAAAAAUGUAUGAUCAUCGGUAUAAGUAUACCAACGACUCGAACACUGGAACAAGAAUAUCACGCUAACAAAAUGAAGUUGUUCUUGCAACUUGCUAAAAAAAAACCAGCAAGAAAUCUGCCGAAAAACGACCGAAAGAAAAGGGAGAAACGAAAGAGCACGAAGAAACUUGUUCGAGUCGUGAGCUUCUCCAAAAAAGGGUUCCUUUUAUCGAUGCGUUAAACGUGGCCAUGAAAAUGUCUCUGACAGCGUCUCUGACAGUAAAAUUGAAUUAAAAUCCACUUUGUGACUUAUCACGAUGGCGGAAUCAUGGCGGAAGCAAGCAAAUACUCGCUGCGGGUCGAAUUAAUUAACCGACAGGUUGAGUAGGUAAUCGGUUUUGAAUGAAGAUGUCCGUGAAACGCGAGUCACAAAUUUUUAAGUACCGGAGGGCACGUUGCUUUUUCUCGAGCGGAUCGCAACCGCGAUCUCGAAGGUGUCGCCGAUGUCGUAAAACCGAAUUAUGAUACACCGUGCGAUGAAGAUAAAAGAAGAGGGCGAAAGAGGAAGCCGCGCGAAGCGGAGGUGGAACGGUGCGUGGAUUGUUGAACGUGUGUGCAAAACGGCAGCAGGAUUAUCGACGCCAGUCUGGCGGCCGUUAGUUGUGGCCUUGCCAUCGGCAGUUUAUUCACGAACCGGAAUAUCUGUUCGACCGUUCCUUCGGCAACCUCCAUACGUUUCAAAACACCUCGAGCGAGCCUCUCUUCUUUUGCCGAGAGAGAGUGCACUCGUUACUUUCCCGAUUCCUUGACGAAACGAUGCGUGUGCAUACACGGCGAGAUCAUUUCGAUCGACGGAUUAAGUACCAUGCUGUUAUGGAACUCGUCUUUGUAAAAUAGAUAGAGCCGGUCUGGAGAUAGUUUCGUUGAUGUUUUUGAUGGUAGUUGUAUAUAUGCAUGACGAUAUAAAAGAAGUUUUGUCAGCUUGUUUUUAAAGAAUUGUUCAACGAAAUAAGAAAUAUGUCGUUUAUCAAUAAUUUAUCGUUUUAUUAUAAUUAUCUGCGAAGUACGAUAAUGACGAAAUGGCCAUCUCUAGCUGCUUUACAAAUGCGUGCCCUUUCAGUGACAAUUUUUAUAACAUUUUCACGUAAUUCCUGUGUUAUUUGUUCAUUUUUCUGUCGACAAUAAAUUUCCUAAAUUUUUCAUUGUUCGAACAACGAUGGUCGAACGAUAAUAAAACUUGUUGUAAUUUUCCUUCUGUUUGCACAACGAAUAAUUAAUUUUUUAAUAAAUUGUUUAAAGAUAAGUUUUUAUCGCCAUAACAAGUUAUUGAGGCAUCGAAUGUUGUACGAUAAAAUUCGAUGGUAUGUAGUACGCGAUUGUUACCAUAAAGCUGUCAUCACACCAAUAGAAGACAAAUGUAGAAUAAGGUAGAGUUCUAUUUAAGUGCUUCGUCUUUACAUUUGUUAAAUUUUGUUUUAUAAAACUCUGAUAGAAGACUGAAUAUCAGAAGAUAAUGUUAAUACUGUAGCAACGACGAGGAACGUCCAUUAGGGUCUUAUAAAAAAUAAUUGUAUUAUGGUAUAUAGAUAUCGAGAGUGCUUUGUUUCUCAUUAAACAAUUUGAGGGAAACGAUCGACCUUCUUCCUCAUUUUUGUUUAAAUGCCCGUGGCAAUAAAUGAUAAUAGGUCGUUAUUCAUCAUAAACGUGUCCAUCAAUAAAACGUUAAUCAUAUGCUUGGUUAUAAUGGCGAUCUGGAAGGAAAUUAUUUGAAUAUAUUAUAUCGAUGAAAAAUAAUUUGAUGUGAUGAAUGUGAAUUAUAUUCGUUAUUUUCUUGCUUGUUUGUCGUGUCAAUAUACGUGCAUACGUGGUAAGAUUAGCACGACCGUUGAACCAAUUAUUUAUAUUUGAAGAAGAUAAUAAAUGUUAUUAAAGGUGUUAUUUUGUACGAUAAA